CCUUAAACCCAGGAUUGUCCACUAGUAUAGAAUCCUAUAGUACAUCUCGCAAAGUCUUACUAAAAAUGAGGGAAGCCGCAUAUUUCACUCAAGUAUUAUCAACUUUUCGCCAACAGCAACUAUUUCCCAAGCAGCACGCACUGUCAAUAUCGCUGGUGCUUUAGCACUUGGAAAUAACAUGUUAAGAAACGCCGGCAGAAAUACUAAGAAAAUAGCGCUUGUCUUUAUUUCUCAACUGUCCAGUGUAGAUCCGGGUCCAAUAGCUACUCUCAUGAAAUCACAAGGGAACUCUAUUUUUGAGAUAUAUCAAAAGUCGUUUAGGUCCAGGAGUCUCCACUAUGGGCAUAGCAUCCUAUGGUACUUCUCGUAAAGUCGUAUUAAAAAUGAAGGCGGCCUCAUAUUUCUCUCAAUAAUAUCAACAAUUUUACCGACGACAACGUUUUCCACAACAAAACGCAAUGUCGAUAUCGCCACUGCUUUAGAACUUGGAAAAUAACAUGUUAAACAACGCGGGCACAAAUACUAAGAAAGUAGCACUUGUCUUUAUUUCUCAACUGUCCAGUGUAGAUCCGGCUCCAAUAGAUGGUCACAUGAAAGCAGCUGAUAAAUUUAUUUUAGUUUUGAUUAAUCUGCAGGGUUUCCUGCUCAAGAAAUAGGUUCAUACUACGAAUCGAAAGAGGAAAUUAAUUUCCAAAUAAAAACGGAAAAAGGAACGAAAAUGGGGAAAUUUUUUUAUUAAGAUCCGAUUCAAAAAAAAUAAAAAUUACCAAAAGCUAAUAGCUAAUGAACAAAAUCAGAUCGAAAAUGGGGAGGGGGGACUCAAUCAAAUAUGGAAGGGUCAAUUAAAAUGAGGAAA